UGUUAAACUAGCAGCCAGGGAGAACUCCAAGAGGAUCAGUCUGAAGCUUUAUACGGUUGAUUUACAGUGUCAGUGUUGAGAUACAAGCUCUUCCACAUAAUGGAAGUGUUUUCCACAGUCCGUCCUCAUUUUCAACCUGAAGCUGUGCUGUAGCACUAGGGAGAAAAAAACAACCAAUCACAUCUUCACCCCAUGUUGGAGCUCCUCUCUGCAGCCCUGCAUCUCCAGUCUUUUAAUUCAAGAUGCUAACAACUCUCUAAGUUCUGCGUUCUCAAGAAUCUAUGGACACUGUAUGAACGGGACAACACUUUAAUCACUUAUACUUUAAGGUGUUCCAUCUUCCAAUCUCAUGGACAUCGCAGCAACUACACAAACAAUACAUUUUACAGUUUCCAUUUUUGAUUCACCACAAAGCUAACAUACGUUAUUUAUUUCAUUUUUUUCUCCAAAGAUUUUUUUUUAUGCUUAGAAUACCCAUUAGAAGUGCUAAAUUUAAUGGAAGGGACUGUAUUCAUAUUUGUGAUAGAACAAUAUUAUUUAUUCUAUUUUAUUGGAUGAGUGAAAUCUUGUGAUGUUUAAAGCCACUAAAACAUGCUCCUCAUGCUUAAUCUUGCUUCUUCAAUAUUUUGUAUUUCAGAGAUUGUACUGAAAAUAGUGGCACGUUCUGGUUGUGUGU
ensembl:lncRNA